rnacentral:rRNA from 1 species
AUACGGAGGACGCGAGCGUUAUCCGGAUUCAUUGGGUUUAAAGGGUGCGCAGGCGGCCGUGUAAGUCAGCGGUGAAAGCCCGGGGCUCAACCCCGGAAGUGCCGUUGAUACUGCGUGGCUGGAAUGCGGUCGAGGCGGGCGGAACGGGGCGUGGAGCGGUGAAAUGCGUAGAUAUGCCACAGAACGCCGAUAGCGGAGGCAGCUCGCCAGGCCUGCAUUGACGCUCGGGCACGAAAGCGUGGGGAUCGAACAGGAUUAGAUACCCUGGUAGUCCACGCAGUAAACGAUGAUUACUAGCUGUUUGCGAUACAAUGUAAGCGGCUGAGCGAAAGCGUUAAGUAAUCCACCUGGGGAGUACGUUCGCAAGAAUGAAACUCAAAUGAAUUGACGGGG